AUUGAACGCUGGCGGCAUGCUUUACACAUGCAAGUCGAACGGUAACAGGGUGCUUGCACCGCUGACGAGUGGCGAACGGGUGAGUAAUGCGUCGGAACGUGCCGAGUAGUGGGGGAUAACGCAGCGAAAGUUGUGCUAAUACCGCAUACGUACUGAGGUAGAAAGCAGGGGAUCGCAAGACCUUGUGCUACUAGAGCGGCCGAUGGCAGAUUAGGUAGUUGGUGGGAUAAAAGCUUACCAAGCCGACGAUCUGUAGCUGGUCUGAGAGGACGAUCAGCCACACUGGGACUGAGACACGGCCCAGACUCCUACGGGAGGCAGCAGUGGGGAAUUUUGGACAAUGGGCGCAAGCCUGAUCCAGCAAUGCCGCGUGCAGGAUGAAGGCCUUCGGGUUGUAAACUGCUUUUGUACGGAACGAAAAGCCCUGGGUUAAUACCCUGGGGUCAUGACGGUACCGUAAGAAUAAGCACCGGCUAACUACGUGCCAGCAGCCGCGGUAACAC
rnacentral:rRNA from 1 species